rnacentral:lncRNA from 1 species
GGGACACCCCCCGAGGAGAGCUUGUCCCACCCUGCAUGGGAACCCGGAUGCUAGGAGAGUUGUUACUGUUUUCCAAAAUUCCCUCAGCUAUCAGUUAGCACAUUGGUUCCUGGCACAACACGCCAAGCCUCCUGGUGAUUCUGGGUAUUAUGAACGCAAAGGUCGGGGGAAACAGGACACGGAAGCCCAAGGAGGGCUCCACACAGUGCCCUGCAGCUCUUCCCACCUCCGCACCUCCCGGAGCUGGUGGGCGGGAGCCCGAGGUCUGUCUGCGUGUGCCUGGACACACGAGGGUGUGGGGGAGUGCGUGCAUUUGUGGAAUGAUGCGGAGAUAAAAGAUGAUGCCCUAGGCCCUUCCAUGAUGCUGAAGCGGUUGCCUGGAGAUUACCAUAAGGACAUGUACGGGGACCUGGGCUGUGCACACGGAGGCAGAGCCGGAGCAACGUGGCUACAGUGGUGUUGGUGUCCAGGACAGAGGCCGGCCCAGGACUCACCACACCCAGUGCCUGGCUAUGGAUGGACGCUCUCAUGUGACCUGGUAUCUGGAAGGGGCCUCUCUGGGACAGUUGGAAUUUCACCCUCAAAGGACAAAGGUAUCAUAGCCCUGUCCUGAGAAGCUUGGGAUCACACCUGAAACUGGAACAGGUGCCUCCAAAUACUUAUGGGACGGACCACUUCCCAGGAUGCUCGUUUUCCUGCUGAUUUCCUGCUGACUUUCCAUUGGGGGAUUUAUUCUUCUUCUCCUUUUUUUUUCUUUUUAAAUGAGUGAAAUUCACAAAGCAUAAAAUGAAACAUUUCAAAACAAACAAGUCAGGGUGUUCAAUAAUCCACCAUGAACAAUUACCAGCUCUUUCUAGUUCUAAACGCGUUCAUGCAUUAGGCAGCCACCCCUCCACUUUUCCUUCUCAGCCCUUGGCAACCACCAACCUGUUUUCUGUCUCUAGGAAUCUACCUAUUCUAUAUAUUUAAUUUAAAUGAAAUCAUGCAAUUUUCCACCUUUUGUGACUGGUUUCUUUUAUCUAGCGUAAUGUUUUUAAAGCACAUCCACAC